AGUGAACGCUGGCGGUAGGCCUAACACAUGCAAGUCGAACGGCAGCACAGUAAGAGCUUGCUCUUACGGGUGGCGAGUGGCGGACGGGUGAGGAAUACAUCGGAAUCUACUUUUUCGUGGGGGAUAACGUAGGGAAACUUACGCUAAUACCGCAUACGACCUACGGGUGAAAGCAGGGGAUCUUCGGACCUUGCGCGAUUGAAUGAGCCGAUGUCGGAUUAGCUAGUUGGCGGGGUAAAGGCCCACCAAGGCGACGAUCCGUAGCUGGUCUGAGAGGAUGAUGCGACACUGUGACUGAGAGACACUCCAGAGUCCUAUACGAGGGGCCGCAGUGGAAUAUUGUAGAAUGGGGGCGAACCCCUGACACAGCCAUCCCGCGUGGGUAGAGAAGGCUCUCGUGUUGUAAAGCUCUUUUGUUGGAAAAGAAACGGAGCAGGUUAAUACCCCGCUGUUCUGGCGGUACAAAGAGAAUGCGCCCCCGCUCACUUCG
rnacentral:rRNA from 1 species